UUGUAUAACAGAGGUGCCUAAGGCUGUCGCUGACCUCCAUAGGUCGUGCACGCCCGAAGGUGCUCUCUCACAUCCAUCUCACCCCUUUGUGCAUCACCGCGUGUGCUCCCCUAUUGGGCUUGUUCCAAAGGAGGGUUCGCGUUUUUAUAUGAACACCAAUUUUAAAAAGCAUGUGUAGAAUGUCUUACUUUUUGCGAUUACGCGCAAUCAAUA
rnacentral:misc_RNA from 1 species